GCCAAAAUGAUGUCAGCAUUGAUAGGCUAAAGCAACAGCCACAAUCACUAUACAGUUCUAGCUCUGUUUUUGAGCAGAAAUAGUUUUGAGCUGGAUGACAUUGAACAGGGCUGUAAACUGAUGGUCCUUGUCUUUCAGCUGGUAGCUCUGAAACAAUUGAAAAAAGCAGAGGAACAAAAAUUGUCUGAACUUCAGCAACAUUUGGAACAACUGGAGCCUAUCAAAGAGAAGUAUUCAGCCUUGCAGUCUGAAACGGUGAUACUGAAGGCUCACUAUGAAGAAUGUAUCCAAAAGCUGGAGAAGAAUCAGGACAGAUCUUCACCUGUGAACUUCACAGAAGAAGU